rnacentral:lncRNA from 1 species
GACAACACUCCCAAUAUGAAGGAUUUCUCAUUGCCUCUCCCUUAUAAAUUACUCCAAAUACAAACAAAACCCUCAUUAUCGCAAUUCCCCAAAUAAUAGUUUCGGCGAAAAAAUCUCUCAUAGCGUUUAGAAUCAAUCCAGAAGAAAAUUAUCUUAAAUUAGGGUUGUGGUUGAUUGUAAUAGCAAACAAGAAUCAAAAAUAUGGUAGCAAAAGCUGAUAUCGCCGUUUCGAUUGGUCUAGGGUUCUUCCACGUCUCCACGCCGUUGACAUCUAAGGGUUUUCUUGAUGCUCGCUUCUGAAUCUGUGUCCAUCAAAAUCGCUCGUUCUGAAUCGGUAUGUUUUUAGUUUUUUAUCCCUCUUUUAUGUGAUUAUGAAUUGGGUUUCGAGUAUGAUAUCUAUUAUCUAGAUUAAUACAUUUAAGACUUAGGAUUUUUGUAUCCGUUGUUAUUGACUUGGAUUUGGUGAUUAAUUUGAUCGAUUGAUAUGGAUUAUUGGCUUUUCACGUGUGUGUUAACAUCUGGGUAUUGGUUGGGGUGAAAUUGAUGUUGCCUUUGCAAAUUUAGAGUUUAUUGGCUUACCCUAUUUUUUUUGGAAUGGGUGUAGCUUGAUUAUCAAGAAUCUACUUUUCUUUUAUUUAUAUAAAUUAUUUUAACUGAUUGUUUUACCUUUUACUGAAACAUUUGAUUUUAGGAACCUUGCUUUCCUAUGUUCAAGAGUGUUAAAUGACGCAGAAGGUGCAAGCUUCACUUAAUAUCAUGCAUUUGGAUGAGUACAAUCUUUGAGCAAGAACAGAGUAAAUCAAGUAAUGUGUUCGUUUUAUGUUUACAUCAUAUUUUGAAUUUACGCUGUCUAGUGAUAGCCAAUUUGAUAGUUACAUGUUUAAAUUAUGUUAAGUUUUGUUUAUUAUUGCCUUUAAACUUGCAGAUUAUGAUGCAACUGAUACUCUUUGGAAGUUGGAAUGUUGUAUUUUUGUUUGUACACUUAGUUACUUUAAGUUACUCCGUUAUUUUACUGAAUUAUGUUUUUCUUUUGCAACAGUUUUGAGAUAUACUUGAACAACAAGCAAAUGUCUGGGUAAGUUGAUAUCACUUCUUAAAACUAAUAGCAAUUAUUUUUUUAUUAUUUAUACUUGUUGUCUUUAUUAUCAGACUUCUGUUUGUUGCUUGGUGAAACUAUUAUUCUGUCUUUAAUCUUUCCUAUAAUUUAUCAGUGAUUAAACGGAGUACAAUGGUUGAUUGGUAUUAAACUUAACAAUGGCUUUAAACUUAACAGGUUCUCUUAUUACUCUUGGUUUUGUGCAAAUAUCUAACCAAUUUUUUUUUUGAAAUUCAUAUGAACUUUAUUUCACUUUAUCAAGAUCCAUUUACUUCAUAAGUUUGUAUCAGUGAAUCUUUUGAGUUACUAUUGCACUGACCUAGAUUUGUACCUUUACUGUGUCUGAAUGAAAAAUUGGGCGGCCAUCUUACAGGUUUGAGAAUGAAAAAAUCGAGAUUUGGUAAUUUAAUUUUAAUAUUUAUUGAAUUGAAUAAAUAUUUUUCGAUGAAUUAAUUAUUAGAUUAAAUAAUUAAUUGAUGAAAUUGUGGUAGAUUAAUUUAAUUAUAUGUGUUAUAUUUAUUAAAUUAAUGUGGAGAAUUUUUUAUUAUUCGAAGUAUGUAAUUAUGUGAGCUUAUUGUAAUAAAAGAAAUAUUUAAUAAGCCUAAUAGUAUUUUAAUUAAUUUAAUAAUUAAUUAGAGAUUUAAUAAUUUGACAUUAUUAAUAAAUGAGAAAUUUAAUUAUGUGACUAUGUGGAUUUAUGAGAAAUUAUUAUAUGUUAUUUAAUUAAAUUAAAUAAGAUAUUGACUUUAUUUUAUAAAGUAGUGUGAUAUUAUUUAAACUAUUUUAUAAAGGUUUAAUUAAAUUAAUUGGAUAUAAGCCUUUAAGGCUAACCAAACGAGGCCUUAAGAGGAGUUGAGGGCAGUUAAACCACGUAUGGAGUAACUGACCUCAACUCUGCGCAUAAAGGGUCAGUUGCUUUGUUUUACGUAUUUUGCUAUUAAGUGUUCAAACUGAGAGUCAGAGAAUUUAGAGAGAGUUCAGAGAGAAUUCAGAGGAAUUGUGGGAGAAAACUCUGUGAUUGAAGUAGUAUCUGAAAAGGGAUUGUUAUCUUUACUCACUCUACGCUCUGGGUAAUUCUCUCCAACCCAAUUCUCAUUUUUUUUUCGUCAUUAAGCUUUCAUGAAAAUGGUUUCCAAUCUCUUUGUUAAAUCUCUGUAAAUGGGAAAUUGUGUUGUUAUAUGGAUAUAUGUAAUAAUAUGAUUAGCAUAACAUGUUUAAUUAUAUAUUAUAUAGGUUUCCAUAUCAUCAGUUUCAUAAUAUUAAUGUAUGUUAUGGCUUCAAAAGUAACAGAGUAUAGAAUAUGGCCAUGUGGCCCUUAUACGUGAUUUUAAUAUGUCAAACAUAAUUUUUUUUUGUAAAAUUUUCACUUGUAUAUAAUUAUGCAUGCUAAAAUGAAGAAAACAAAAUUUGAAUGGAUGGAUUUGGUGUUAUAACAAAUCUGUAGUGUUAAAAUUUUAUGUUUUUGUUCAAAACCUUCAAGAACACCAAGAACAAUGAAAUUCGCAUGUUUUAAUUUUGUAAUUAUGUGUUUUAAUUGGUUAAAAUCACUCUAUAAAUGUUGGGUAAUGAUUAUAUACGAAUUAUAACAUGUGGGUAUGUUUAAUCUGGUGAAUUCAAUGACCAUGUAAUGUUAAAUCCGCUUGUUUCUGUGUUCUUCGCGAACUAGAAAUUCAGAAAUUGGAGUUUCGCGCCGCGGUGCCAACUCCAGGCCUAAGACUCGCGCCGCAGUACCAAGACCUAGUAUAACAGUGGCGCCGCAGCGCCACUUAACAGAAUGGUCCAAAAAUGAGUUUUUAACAUGUUUAAAUUUAGCAAUGUGUUGGUAACUUAAUCUAAUUAACAUAAAAACUUGUUAGACAUAUAAUGAGGUGUUAAAAUAAAUUCUUAGCAUGUCAAUAACACAUGUACGUGAGAAUUGAAUGAUUGAAUGCAUAGUUAGCUUAUUGUUCAUGAAGUGUUAAUUGUGACAAUGAGUGUAAUAAUUUGACUAAGUAUAGUCAUGAAUUUGAGUUAGACAAAAAGAAUGAACUUGUGAUGACUAGUACGUUAUAAUUGACUGGUAUUGUGAACGUAAAUGAUAUGUAGGAUUUAAAUCAAGGAACGAGUUUAAUUAACGUGUAAUCUACGCACAAGGCAAGUUUCCUAACCUUACUCGUUAUCUUUAUAUGAGCUUAUAAGUUAUCUCUUUACAUCGAGCAAAUUCUCGUUAUUAUUGAUCAAGUCCAUUUUAUUAUAUUAAAAUGUAUUAAUCUUUCAAAGUAUGAUUCUGUUAUACAAUAAUUAUUCUAUUGUAUACCUUUUGAGAUUGCUAUUCAAUUUUAAAUUAUCAGUUACUGUUGAACUUUGUUAGACUAGUGAACCCUUAAUGAUUCGACUAGUCCAUAGUUGAUGAGCGUUCUAAAUUUCAGAACCCUUGAUGAAUUAUCCAAACCAAACUUCCUUUGGUGCGGACUCUAAUGUCAAACUGAGAUGAACAACCCUGUAUAGGGGAUUACUUAUGCGUUAGCGUUAAGAUAUUGUGCACAGUAUGGUACUAAGGGCUGAUCCCCCUAAGUACGAGAAGAAGAGUCCAUAGUCUUAUGACUGUUAAAGGUUUCAAGUAUAAACACUUGACAACCUAGGACAUAGUUCAAGGUCUUAUGACCCUCAGAAGUUCUUUUAUUUCUUGUUAUUCAUUCCUGAUUCAAAAGUUGAGUUUCCUAUUUCAGAAGUCUUUGAUUUAUUCAAAUAUUAUUAUUCAUUUGUUAUAUUAUUAUACUUGUGGGCAAUCGUGCUCACUCUUGCGUAAUAAUAACAUUGCAGUUAAGAACGAAAGAUCAGACGAGCCUUCCACUAGUAAAGGCAAGGGCAAGAUUAACAAGUAAUGAAGACUGGUUAUUUAUGUGUUUAUGUAAUGAUAUUCAGGAUUUAUAUUAUUUAAAGACUUAUUAUUUGUUUAUGAUUCCGCACAGAUGUUUAAGGUUAGAGCAACCUGGGAUUUUAUUAUUAUGCAGUUAAUGUAACCCCAUAAGGGGAGAUUUAUUUAUUAUUUCUAUCUAUUGCAUGGUUUGCAUUUAUUUAUGGGUAGAUAGAUAGAUGAUAUUUGUACAGUGAACACCAAAUCCUGUGGAAAUGGAAGUACCGGAUUUGGGGGUGUCACAGGUUGGUAUCAAAGCUGUAGGUUAUGAACCUUAGGUGGGGAAACAACCUUAGGUAGUAGCCUUGUAAGAGAUUGAGAACAUAGUAGUGGUAAACUCUUAUCGAGUUAUAAGAAAUGAAUUUCUAAAUUCAUUGAAGAUAAUAAAAGAUUUUAUGUGCUUAUGUGUUAAUCUAUGUGUUCGCUAGCACGGAUUAGUAACUAAAACUUAAAUUUUGUUGUCAGGAUGUCGGAUGUUAGAGGAGCUAGUCGAUCUGGGGAGGAGGAACCCGGAGUACCUACAGAGGAGGAGCCCCGAGACAUUCAUGUCAUCAGGGAACAGUUGGUACAGAGAAAGCCAUCUCCGUUGAUCACUGUUGUUGGUCGGGAGCAUGAGCCUGAGACCGAUCUAGAGGAGGAUUCUGAUGAAGAAGAGGAGGAAGAGGAGUUCCCACAGAACUCCAUUGAUGCUGAGAUGUAUGAUGCACUUUAUGAUCGUAACAUAGAGUUGCAAGACACUGUUCAGGAGCUGGGGAAAGGACUGUUAUGCAGCAGAGUACCAUCGAGCAGAAGGAUGGGGAAAUUGUGACUCUUCACACACGUUUGGGAAACAUGGAGUGAGAUUUGGUUCACGAGAAGGGUCAAAUUGAGGAGAAGAACGAAGAAAUAGAGAAGUUGAAGAAAGAUCUGAAAGAGAGCUCAGAAAGACUGGCAUUAGCAGAGGAGGGCUGGGUAAGAGAGUCACGUCGUGCUGAUCUUGCUGAAGAGGAUUGUCGUGUAAAGAAGGCUAAGCUUGGGGAGACGUACUCUACACUUCACAAUGCAAUGGAUGCAAAGAUGAAUUGUUAAUGAAUAUCUUUGGCUCGUAGUGCAAAGAUGAAUUUAUUAGUAUGAUUAUGAAUAAGAAUUAUGAUUUGGUAUAACCAUGAUUUUGAUGUUUCAGGUAAAGACAGAUGAUGAAAAUUAUCUUCGUCCUGGGUGCGAAGAGGAAUUUAGAAUAACAAUUAUGAUUAUAAGUUAUUCACAUGAUUGUGGAUAGGAAUUGUUGAUUGAUGUUACAGGGAUAAAACAUUAUUGAUGGACUUUUAACAUGGAGAAGAUAAUAGACCCUAUGGUCUAUUUGACUCUUCUAAUGGAUUGUUCGUUCCGCUGCAACUAUGGUUGAAAAGUUUUAUCAUGUAUCAUAUGUUCUAAAUCUCUGAUUUAUUAUUGACGAAAGCUAUUGAUAAUUUAAUUAUCUUUAGUCAUGAUAUUCUUUACUGGGCUAGUUGUGCUCACCCUUUUGCUUCACAAUUCCUUUCAGGUAAUAAGAGUGUUGCCGAGUCGAGCGGGGAUAACAGGGGAAUAGAACGGUGGUCUAUAGCUGUUGAAGUUCUCCCUAAAUAGGAUGGAAAUAAUUUUAUUAAGAACUUUAGAUAAGGGUGUCAUAUUGUAUACGUCAUUUGAUAUUUAAUUUUGGUGAACCGAAUAGGGUGAGGUGAACCCAACUUUGGAAGGGCGUUUUUUCCACUAUCAUACAAGAUGUCUAAUGAUAGACGACUUCGUGUUAUCAUAAGACAAGGUUGUGCACAUCCACUUGCUGAGUAUAUCUACGAGCACUACCUAUAUAAUCUUGGAGUUUAUUUGAAAUAUAAUUCUCACUUGGAGACAACGGAGAUAAUUAUAUGUCAAGAGAAGACUUACCAUUGGAAAGAAGAUUAUAGCAAUCUUUUUGUUUUUCUUUGAGGACUAUUGGUCAACCAAGGAUAAUUCUAUGGACAUAUGAUAUCUAUCAUAACCUAGACGCAUGGCCUCCCAUGUACGGAGGUUUACUUGAGCACUUCCCAAAUAUUUUAAUUUCUAAAACAGUUUUUGACUGUACUUUUAUGUAAAGUACAAUUGUAAGGUUGUGAUUGAGGCACCAUGAGAGUUACAUACAUUUGUAUUAAAACUCACAGUUUAACUGUGGUCGUAUUCUGCACGACAGUUCAAUAGUUGUAUAAAUGAAGUUUGUAUUUGAUUUUUAUAGUAUGAUAUCUGGCGACUCAGAAUGGGUCGUGUGGACCUAUUUUGGGGGCGUCACAAAUGGUAUCAGAGCUUAGGGAUAUGGUCGUUGGCGGAGAUAAGAGUCUAGAACUAGGAGGGGAGAGACGAGUUAUAUACUUCGCUAGUGUGUGACUUACCUAAGCUGAAAUUGUUUACUUGAUAAGUUGACAAAUUGUGAUAUGUCAAUUAACCUUUGUUUUGAAGAUAUAUUCUAGAAUGAUAUCUGAAAUAUAGGAGAUGAGCAAUGGGAAAAUCAUGAUACAGAGGAUAUAACCGGGAAGGUACAAUCCAAAAAGAAAGCAAGGUAUUCUCAUCUCUUCGAAUACCAGGUACGUACAUAAAUUUCAAGGGCGAAAUUUCAUAAGGAGGGGAGAUUGUAAGACCCCGAUUUUUAUGAAAUGAAAGUAUUCAAUUUUCUUAUAAUUAUUAUGUUUAGUAAAUGGUUAAACUUAGAAAAGGUUAAAGUUAAGGGUGAUAUGUGAAAUUUUUUCAAAGUAAGCAAGUUGUCAUAAAAUAAUCGGUGGUAAAAAUAUAGUAAUACGCGUGGUUGCAUAGUAGCACACAGUAUUGAUUAUUGAUGCUUACGUGAAAAGUCACUCAGUUUUAUUCAAUUAUUGUCAUAAUAUUUUAUAUUAUUAAAUCAAUAAUUGAGACAGCAAAGUUAUUCAUAUUAUUAUUUGCAAUAUUGACAAUGUCUAGAAGUUCUGUCAAAGAGAGGUUUGGUCAUCUAAUUGUGCGCCAAUAAGGAGAAAUCUUUAUCGGAAAGCCCCCUCUUUCCUAGGAACGACCUGGUUGUUAAAUAUUGCGAAUUAUAAUAAUAAUGAAUAAAUGUUAUUAAAAAUCGAAUUUGAGUUCGGAGUUGAAUUUAGAGACGCGGACGUGAUAUUUGAGUCCAGAACGAUGGAAUUAGUAAAAAUAAACGGUAAACACAAAAUUUUUCGGGGUUAACUUUUUGGUCAAAAAGUCAACUGUUGAUUUUUUUAGAAAAAGUCAAACUUCAAAUUUUCAAAAAUAAAAUUUUUGAUAAAAAUAGUUCCAUUGUGUUGGAAUUAUUAAUAUUAGUGGAAAUCGACAUUUAUUUCGAUAUUAAUUGAUGUCUGGAGGUUAUAUUGACCAAUCGGGUAAUUCACUGGAUAAAUGAGCAAUUAAUUGUUAUUAAUUCACAUGAUUAUAACUAUUUGUUCACAUGUAUGUACUAUUGAUUCACAUUCUUGUACUAUUAGGGGAGUUGGUGCAAGAUUGAUAAUACUUGUAUGACUUAGUUAAAAAUGAAGGAAUAAAUGGAGGUACUAUAUUGUAAUUCGUAUUUUCACAUGAUUAUAACUAUUUAUUCACAUGAUUGAACUAUUGAUUCACAUUAUUUACUAUUAGGGGAAGUGGUGCAAGUUUGAUAAUACUUGCAGGACUAAAUUAAAAAUGAAAGAAAAGUUGAAGGUAUUGUACUGUAAUAUUUUGAGCCCCAAAACGUGCAAUUAUCGAAACUAUAUUUUCCUAUAAAUAGAAGCUCAUUCUUCCUUCAUUUCUCACCAAUUCACUAAAGCUAUAGAGCAAUUAUUAUAGAGAGAAAUUAUAGAGAGAAAGAAGAAAAGAAGUUUUCUACCUCACUAUUCCAGUAUCCAGUCUUCUUUUGAGGUAAGAGAUAUUAUUAUUAUAGUAAGGGGUAUUAUUUCUUUCAUAUUCAUGAAGAGAGCUAUUGUUAUUCCAUUCCUUAUUAUUCUGUUGGAAUAACCUGUAUACGCGGACUAUCGUAUAUAAGGUGAAAUUCUUAUGUUAUUUCAUUCUUUAUUAUUAUGUUGGAAUAUCAUGUCUGUGCGGAUUACGCAUAACCUGGUUCCAUUCUUUAUUAUUCUGUUGGAAUAACCUGUCUUUGCGGUCUAUUGCAUGCCUGGUGAAUUCUGUUGUUAUUUCAUUCUUUAUUACUCUAUUGGAAUAUCCUGUCUGUGCGGAUUACGCAUGACCUGCUUCCAUUCUUUAUUAUUCUGUUGGAAUAUCCUGUCUGUGCGGAUUACGCAUGACCUGGUUCCAUUCUUUAUUAUUCUGUUGGGAAUAAUCUGUCUGUGCGGUCUAUCGCAUGCAUGAUGAAUUCUUCUGUUAUUCCAUUCUUAAUUAUUCUGUUGGAAUAACCUGUCUAUGUGAAUUACCGCAUGCAUGGUGAAUGAUCCUUUGUAUUCAUUCCUUAUUAAAUUGUGGAAAUUAUCUGUCUACGUGGAUUACCGCAUGGCGGGUGAAAAUCCAUUUGCAGUUUUGUAAGUAUUCUGACCCUCAAAAAUUUUGAAAAAAUUUGAAAUGAUAAUUUGAUGAGUUUUCUAGACUGUGUCCAAAAAUGGAGAUUUUUGGUUGUAUAGAUUAGGAGUUAUGAAUUUUAUGGAAAAGACUAUUUUAAAAGUAAACCCUUAUAACUCCUUAUGGUUAACUCCAAAAUUGGUGAAAUUUUUAUUGGGAGUACAUGUAUAUAACAGAAUUAUACCUUGUAAAAUUUCGGAAUUUUUGGACAAAAGUAUAAUUUAUGAUAAAUGUCUAAAUAUUCGGCAGUUUUGGCCAUAUGAAAAAUAGUAAAUAAAUUUUAAAAAUUUCGAGAACAAUAUAUGUUCAAUAUGGGACUAUAUUCUGAUAAAUCCCAGAAAAGAAAUAUUUUUGGGACUGAUUUGGUAUUUUUCAUGAAAAUGAACUAGUUAUGAGUAAAUGAAUUAAAUAUGUUAUGUGAAGUAACAAAAUUGAAAAAUAGGAUUUUAUGGCUUGGGAAUCCUAUAUAGGGUAUAUGCAGAUUUUUGAUGAGGGAUUUGAUCAUUGGUGAUGAAAUCUUAUGAGUAUGGCAUUUUUGAAUGAUUAAAUGCAUUAUUUGGUAAAGUGUAAACAAUUGAAAUAAAUUGUUUAUAAGUUUAAGAAGUGAUUAAAAUAUUGUUAUAAUAUUAAUAAUAUUAGAUUAUGAGUUUAUUAAGUGAUUGAUAAUAUUUGGAUAAAUUUAAAGUCUUUAAUAUUUAUCCUUAUUUUCGUUUGAUUAAUGUUUAUAUCAUUGUCAUAAUCCUCAUGCUUAUAUUGUGAUGAAAGUCAUCUUUGGCUUACGUGGGCUUACGUGCAAAGAUGGACUGUUGAUUAUUGGUUUUAUAGUUGUAUAUCUUUGGCUUAUGUGCAAAGAUGGACCGUUGAUUAUUUGUUUUAUAGUUGUAUAUCUUUGGCUUACAUGCAAAGAUGGACUGAUGAUUAUUGAUUUUAUAGUUGUAUAUCUUUGGCUUACGUGCAUUGAUGGACAGUUGUUGGUAUGAUUAUAAUCAGGGAUUAUUCGGUAUAAUCAUGACCAUUCUUGAAAACACGAAUAUCCUUGGCCCGUAGUGCAUGGAUAAUUCGUGGUCGUAAUACUAAUGAAUAUCAUUGGCCGUAGAGCAGGGAUGAUUCGAUGCUAUGGAUUAAUUAUUAAGCUGAGUUUCAGCGAUAACAUAUUGAUAAUAAACUUUUAAUUCAUAGAAGAUAGUAGAUAUCAUGCUCUACUUGACACUUUUAUAAUACAGUUGUAUGUCUUUGGCCUGUAGAGCAAAGAUGAAUUGUUAAUGAAUAUCUUUGGCUCGUAGUGCAAAGAUGAAUUUAUUAGUAUGAUUAUGAACAAGAAUUAUGAUUUGGUAUAACCAUGAUUUUGAUGUUUCAGGUAAAGACAGGUGAUGAAAAUUAUCUUCGUCCUGGGUGCGAAGAGGAAUUUAGAAUCCCAAUUAUGAUAAUGAGUUAUUCACAUGAUUGUGGACAGGAAUUGUUGAUUGAUGUUACAGGGAUAAAACAUUGUUGGUGGACUUUUAACAUGGAGAAUAUAAUAGACCCUAUGGUCUAUUUGACUCUUCUAAUGGAUUGCUCGUUCCGCUGCAACUAUGGUUAAAAAGUUUUAUCAUGUACCAUAUGUUCUAAAUCUCUGAUUUAUUAUUGAUGAAGGCUAUUGAUAAUUUAAUUAUCUUUAGUCGUGAUAUUCUUUACUGGGCUAGUUGUGCUCACCCUUUUGCUUCACAAUUCCUUUUAGGUAAUAAGAGUGUUGCCGAGUCGAGCGAUGAUAACAGGGGAAUAGAACGGUGGUCUAUAGCUGUUGAGGUUCUCCCUAAAUAGUAUGGAAAUAAUUUUAUUGAGAACUUUAGAUAAGGGUGUCGUAUUGUAUACAUCAUUUGAUAUUUAAUUUUGGUGAAUCGAAUAGGGUGAGGUGAACCCAACUUUGGAAGGGCGUUUUUGCCACUAUCAUACAAGAUGUCUAAUGACAGACGACUUCGUGUUAUCAUAAGACAAGAUUGUGCACAUCCACUUGCUGAGUAUAUCUACGAGCACUACCUAUAUAAUCUUAGAGUUUAUUUGAAAUAUAAUUCUCACUUGGAGACAACGGAGAUAAUUAUAUGUCAAGAGAAGACUCACCAUUGGAAAGAAGAUUAUAGAAAUCUUCUUGUUUUUCUUUGGGGACUAUUGGGUCAACCAAGGAUAAUUCUGUGGACAUAUGAUAUCUAUCAUAACCUAGACGCAUGGCCUCCCAUGUACGAAGGUUUCCUUGAGCACUUCCCAAAGAUUUUAAUUUCUAAAACAGUUUUUGACUAUACUUUUAUGUAAAGUACCAUUGUAAGUUUAUGGUCGAGGCACUAUGAGAGUUAUAUACAUUUGUAUUAAAACUCACAGUUUAACUGUGGUCGUAUUCUGCACGACAGUUCAAUAGUUGUAUAAUGAAGUUUGUAUUUGAUUUUUAUAGUAUGAUAUCUUGCGACUCAGAAUGGGUCGUGUGGACCUAUUUUGGGGGCGUCACAUUCGUGGUCAAACCACGUUGACCGGCAUUGACCGGGAGAUUUUUGGGUAACCCAGAUUUCCCCAGGUCGGUCUGACAGCGAGUUCAUGGGCUUUAAUCUAUUAGUUGUUUAUUGCUUUGUUUAUGUUGUUGUAACAAGAUUGUUGUAUGGUAUAUGGACUAUAGAUUAAGGCUUAUAGAUCACCUAAAUAACAUACGAAUUUGAUUUAAUUGAUGAUCAAACUAGCCUGGACGAUCAUGAUUGAAGUUUUCUAAGUAACCUAGAAAACUUAAGAACACGGUUCUGACAUGGAUUUGACCAGACCUUAUCUGCUUGAUUUGUUGUUAUGAUGAUGUUAUGUAAUAGAUCUGUACACCUACAUGUUGUCUACAAUCUAGGACUUUUAAAUCACUAAACCAUUACAUGAACCACAAGUUGUGGAAGCCCAAAUAUGAACAGUCGAACUGUUGUUCAUUUUUGGGCAAACCCAGAAAUGAAGAACAGCUCUGACAGCCACUUUAGAUGCCCAGAUCUCCUUUGUUAUGUAUUGUGUGAUCAUGAUUGUUGUUAUAACAUGUAGUAUUACAUUAGUUCUACAAACAAUGAUCAAUAGAUAGCCCAGAAAACAUCAUGAUCUGAUCAGCAAUCUUGGUCAAAGUAGGCCACUUGAAAACUGACAUGAAUGUUCUAGGUUUUGCCAAGAACAUGAAGAACACCUAUAGCGACGGUUCUGUCGCUUUAGGCAGCGACACUUUAUUUCUAAAAUUAAUUAUUUUAUUUAAUAAUUAGAGAAAAUUAGUUUUUAAUUAUUUAAAAUACAAAUUUAAUUACUAAAAAUUAUUUUAAAGUCUGAAAAUUAGUUUUUAAUAAUUUUUAAUAUAUUUUAUAAAUAUUUAAUAUUUUUGAAAUAUUAAAGGUAUUUAAUUUAUUUAAUUAUUAUAUUAAAUAAAUUAUUUAAAAAUGAUUUUAAUACUUGAAAAAUUAUUUAAAAUUAUAUUAUGAUAUAAGAAAAUAUUUUAAGUUAUUUUUAAUGACUUUUAAUAUUUUGUGAUAAAUUUUAUUAAUAAAUUAAUAUUAAUGAUAAUUAAGUUAUUUAAUAAACGCAUUAAAUAAAUUAAUUAAAAAUGAUUUUAUUAUAUUAAAAGUCAUUUUAAAUAAUAAUAAGGUAUAUAAAAAUAUUUGAAGUUAUAAAAUAUAACUUUCAAUAUUUAAAGGUAAAUUUCAUUAAUAAUGAUAUUACAAUUAUUUAAUAAUUAUAUUAAAUAACUUCGUUUAAAAAUAAUUUUAAUAUUAUAAAAAUUAUUUCAAAUGAAAUUAAGGUGUUUAAAAAUAUUUGAAGUUAUAAAAUAUAACUUUUAAUAUUUAAAGGAUAAUUUCAUUAAUAAUGACAUUAAUUUAAUAUUAAUGAUAUUAAAUUUAUUUAAUAAUUAUAUUAAAUAAAUAGUUUUAAAAUAAUUUUAUUGAUUUAAAAAUCAUUUAAAAAGGAUAUAAUUGAAUUAAAAAUAUUUUAAGUUAUAAUUAAUGACUUUUAAUAUUUUGAUAAAUAGUACAUUAAUAUUUAAAUAUUAAUGAUAAUUAUUGAAAAAUGAUUUUAAAUGUUUUAAAAAUCAUUUAAGGGUAAUAGCAGUACUUUAAAAAUAUGUUAAGUUAUUAUAAAUAACUUUGAUAUUUUGGCAAUGGUUUCAUUAAUAGUUUAAUAUUAAUUAAAUAUUAAUGAUAAUAAAAUUAUUUAAUAUUUAAAUCAUUUAAUAAUUAUUUCGGUGGUUGAAAAAUCAUGAUAAUUAAUUAAAAAUUAUUAUAAGUCAUUUAAAAAUAAUAUGAUUGAUAUUUAUAGUUAUUGAAUUACAGGAUGGAGUCUUAGACUCGAUAAUUACCCGAUAAAGCCGUCGGUACACCGACAUGUUUCAAAAAUUGAUCUGGACUUAGAUAAUUUGAUUAGAUGCGUGUUUGUUUAUGAUCCAAUGAUUGUUAAACAUGUGUGAUAAUGUGAUUAGGUUAUGUGCUGACUGCAAUAAGCAGUAUUAUGUGUUACAAUAUGUUAUUCUAAUCAGUAAAAUGAUCUUAUUACUGAUAAGUUGCUAUAUAAAAGAUAAAACUAAGUUGCAUAACUGUAAGCAGCAGACCAGGCAAGUAUCCUACCUUUGCAUUUACUUUAUACAAUUGACAUAAAUAAGAAAGUUUUAGAAUUAUAUUAUUAUUAUGCCAGAUUAUUAACCCUAUUGUUAUAUAUAUUAUAUCCGAUCAUUGUUUAUCAGCAUAGUAUUAUAUUAUAAUUCAAAUAUUUUUUCUGUUUGUUAAUUUCUAUAUAUGGUUCUACAAGUGUCCUCACUUGGAUAAUCAUUGUAUUUAAUCACAUGUUGAUACACAUUUAUAAAUUUUCAGUAUGUAUAUGUUAACUUAAAAGCCGUCUAAGCUAAUUGAUUUGGCUAGACACAAACUUAUAGAUUAUUGUUGCACAAGAUAAAAUCUUACUAUUAUCCAACCGAAUUAUUUUGAUUCGGAUUUCCGACUAAGUAUAAACAUCACGUAUAUGGGAAAAUUUUUGUGCGCCAAAGACGGUUAAGAUGAACGAUAAUAUCGUUCUUUCAUGUAGUAUUAAUCAAUACAGGGCAUAAAGGGCUGAUCACCCCCCGUGCCCGUAAGUUAUGACGGUUUGUAGAUGAAGUUCUGUUUAACCUUUUCGAAAAUAAAAAACAAUGUUCAUAGUCUGUCGACUAAUCCCCAGAUAUAGUCAGUACGUAGUUUCAAAAAUUUGAUAUAGAAUUAAUAUAUUAUUAUUGGUUCAGUUUACUUCACAACUAUUGAUUCGUUGUAAAAGUGUCGUACAAAGAAAAUAUUUAAUCCUUUCAGCUAAUAUUUAUAAUUGCUAUUACUUGCUGGGCACUCAAAUACUCAUCCUUGCUUAAUUUAAAAUAUUUUCAGCUAAGUGUGAACAACUAGAAGGCUCGGCUAAGAACAAAAGGAAAGGGAAGGUUGCAGAAUAAGUUGGUGCUAUUUUAUGUAAUAGUGUAACUUUAUUAAGACUAUGAUAUUAUUAUUAUCAUGUAUUAUAAUAAAUGUAUUAAAGGUUACGUACUUGGGUUUAAACUCUGAUAAAUAUGUAAUUUAAGUUUGAUAUCUAUAUUAUUGUUAUUAUUAUUAGUAUUA